rnacentral:rRNA from 1 species
CCUACGGGAGGCAGCAGUGGGGAAUAUUGGGCAAUGUGCGCAAGCCUGACCCAGCAACGCCGCGUGAAGGAAGAAGGCUCUCGGGUUGUAAACUUCUUUUAUCAGGGACGAAGCAAGUGACGGUACCUGAUGAAUAAGCCACGGCUAAUUACGUGCCAGCAGCCGCGGUAAUACGUAGGUGGCAAGCGUUAUCCGGAUUUACUGGGGUUAAAGGGCGUGUAGGCGGGAAAGCAAGCCAGAUGUGAAAACCAUGGGCUCAACCUGUGGCCUGCAUUUGAAACUGUUUUUCUUGAGUACUGGAGAGGCAGACGGAAUUCCUAGUGUAGCGGUGACAUGCGUAGAUAUUAGGAGGAACACCAGUGGCGAAGGCGGUCUGCUGGACAGCAACUGACGCUGAGGCGCGAAAGCGUGGGGAGCAAACAGGAUUAGAUACCCCUGUAGUC